AUUAAAUUUAUGUUUUAGGAAGACAUCUCUGGAACAUGUAGAGCCACAGUAGAAGGCCACACGAAUGACUUUAACACCAUUUCUGAAUCUGGCAAGUCUAAACCUGAACUCCGCAUAUCAGAAUUGCCUACCUUCAGUGUUAUAUCCCACAGGAAGAUUACAUCAUUUGAAGUGAUACUGCAGAAGUAAAACUAAGAGAAAAAAACAACGGAAUUCAACAAAGCCUGAGGUUUCAGUGAAAAAAAUUUUUUUAAUAUAAAGGGGAAAUUUGGACACAGAAAAUGCCUUACCAUGUGAGGAAUGGAGUUAUUUAUGUUGCAACAAGCCAAGGAACUAUCAGAAGCUCAGAGAGACAGGCC
rnacentral:lncRNA from 1 species